AUCUCUUCUCACACCAAAAAUAAGUAAACAACGUUAGCCUUCCUUCUCUUUUCGAUGCCUUUCUCCAGACAAGAAACAAUCCUAGCCGGCACCUUUGUAGGACUUCUCCAAAAGGUCGCCAAGAAGUAUCAAGCGUGAUUGACCAUUCAAACAUCUCAAGCUUCCUUGAAGAUUUAUAAAGUGUAACACAUGGCAUUGGCUUGUUUCUUCUGUCUUGUUAGCAGUCUUUGUUUUCCUUUAUUGGAUUUCAAAGUUGGAAUUGGAGAGCCCUUAAUCCCCGGCUUGAACGAUACCCUGCUUAUUCUAUAUUACAAUGUUGGGUUUUUAAUUGUGAACGCUCCGUCUUCGGAACCCCUAUCAACAUUAGUUAACGAGUCAGGCUAUGUGUCAGUGUGUGAGUUGGAAGUGUCUUGUCUGCUCUAGGCGAGUAGCGAGUUUUUUGCUUCGUCAAAUAGUUAGUUUCGCUUAAUGGCACGGCGAAAGUAAGUGUCGUCGGAUUUAUCUUUCGGUAGCAACAUAUUAAGAAAGUAAUGUUUUACAAUAAUUAAGUUAUCUUUCUGUUAUGUCACCUCUAUAUCUCUGCAAAUAAAGCUCCAUACGUCGACGCCCUCUAUAAAGGUGUAUAUUUCUCUUUCAGUUUAUAAAUUGUUUUCAUACCAUCGAGUUUUUAAUCUAUAAUGAAAAGUUCUAGUCCAGACCUCCCGAUUUCAUUUCCUGGAUCCGUCCUUGAUUUUGAACACCAAUUUCCAAAUAAUUUGCACCGGACGCUGUUGCGAGCUCGAUCUUUUGUUCCCAAGCUUGCUGCAUAUGUAUGUUCAAACAAUCAAACAUACAUGUAUGGGAGUUUCGAGAUAUAUAUAAGAACAUGGCAGUCCUGCCAGAGAUUGUUCAAAGUAGGCAUCCUGCAAUAAUGCAUGUGAUGCUGAGUCAGGGCGUUGGCCACACAAGUCACCAAAAGAUCGGCGUGAUUCUUGCUGAUGAUGCCUCAGACAACUACUAUCUUCUUUCAACAGCAGCAAGGUCGAACGAGCUCUUUACUACUGUUAACCGACGCUUAGUUUGUGCUCGUCACUGUGCGUUCUUUGCUUUUGAACUACACGAUAAGUCUUUUAUAUAUGUUCCAUGAGUCUGUGGUGACGAGACGAUUGCAUGCUCUGCCUUUAUCGGGGUU